rnacentral:rRNA from 1 species
UACAGAGGUCUCAAGCGUUGUUCGGAUUCAUUGGGCGUAAAGGGUGCGUAGGCGGCGCGGUAAGUCGGGUGUGAAAUCUCGGAGCUUAACUCCGAAACUGCAUUCGAUACUGCCGUGCUUGAGGACUGGAGAGGAGACUGGAAUUUACGGUGUAGCGGUGAAAUGCGUAGAUAUCGUAAGGAACACCAGUGGCGAAAGCGGCUUCCUGGUCCAGCACCGACGUUCAGGCACGAAAGCGUGGGGAGCAAACAGG